GUUUCAUGGAAAGACAUAUUUUGACAGACCAGCAUAGAAAUAAAUGAAAAGAAAUAUAUACAACCGAAAGUACAGUAGUUGUUGUAAUUAGUGAGAUCCCUGCAUUUGUUUGUCCUCACCGAGCUAGUCCCAUCUAGGGGUAAUCUUUUUUUCUUGCAAAAGACUCCAAAUGCUUGUCUUUUAAUGCCGAUUGCCAAAGCAGUUUUGAUGGCUUUUUUUGUCUCAUUUGCAAGCCUGUCACGGGUCUGACAUAUUAAGCAGAGAAUCACCUGUAGCACUAAACCUGUACCUGAAAGGGAAAGUUCACAAAUUAAAAAAAAAAAUUACUUUUUGCUAUAUUUGUUAAAACAGCCAUCAUGACCAGACAGCAGUACAUGAUAAAUGAAAAUAAAUGAAAUGAAAAAUUAAGCUGCCUUGCCCCCAUCUUGUGCCUCUAAUUUGAUAUACAAUACAAACCAAUGCACCAGAGGAAAACAACCAAUCAGAGACAAAAAAAAUAAACACCAUUAAUGAGGUGUACAUCAUCUGUUGCUCACUCACGGGCACGCCCACUUGGCGUUGCAAAAAAUCCAACUUCAAACUGAUUACAUUUAGUAUUAUUCAGUAGUAACACUCCAUUACGAUGAAGGCACUUUUCUGGGGUAACAGCAGGGUGCCCCCAACUGGGCGACUAAUGAGUAACACUUCAUAAAUCCCUUCUUCUCUCUCUGAUUGGUUGUGUUUCCUCUGACACGCUGGUUACCUGUAUAUUAAAUUAGAGGCACGAGAUGAGCCCAAAGACGAUUGCUUUUUUUCACAGAUCGUAUUCAUCAUUUACUACUGUCAAGUCAUAAUGACUGUUUUAUAAUAUAACUGAAAAAACAUUUUUUUUUUUAAUUGCAAGCUCCCCUUUAAGAUGGUUGAUAGUGUCUCUUAAAUACAACUUUCUUUUUUGGAAGUUGUUGGCUCUUCUUCUGUCUCAUUAUUUGGCCUGUUCCCUUUUUUGAAAAAAUUCUCCAAACGCUUUUUUCCCCCCCUCAUUUUUGCUAACUUACUAUUUUCCCGUAUCACGUGACUGAUAGACUGACUGUUUUGAGAGAGGCACAGAUAUGAUGUUCAAAGUAAAACAGCUUUCAGACUCUGAUAAUCAAUAAAAUAUUAUUUGCUCAGUUUCUCGCAGGCUCGGUUGUUAGCAACACCGGAACUGUCGUGUUUUAUUCUUUAUCCACAGCAAACAAAAUCAUAGAUGGACCCAGUGGUGUCGCUAGGCCUAUUUUAAGGAGGCUGAAGCCCCCCCUAACAUGUUGUUAAGCCCCCCCAAAAUGAUUUGGUUGUAUGUGGUUUGGGCCAAGUUUGAGUGUCUUAACUGCCCUAAAACCAAUUUUAAGCCAUUUCUAAACUAUUUGGUACUUGCCCAAAAAGGGGAAUGUUUCAGUGGAGCCGGCAAUUUGAGGACAUAUGGUAGUUGUGUGUAAAUAUUACUUGAAUGGAAUGCUUACAAAACAUAAACAGGGAGUAAAGUAGCACCAGCAGAGCUUCAUUAGUGGACCCGGACGAUAACCAAUCAUAUCUGUGAUGUUCCCAUAGAAACGCUCGGCCCCUGUCAAGCAAAGAGGGAGGAAUUUACAGUUUACUUUGUUCAUAUUGUUUUCUCCUUUUUAUUAAGAGCAUACCAUAGACCCAGGCAAUGCUGACCGACUGGCAGAUGGACAGCAGGAGCAAGGUCGUCCCGCUGCAAAUGUAGAAAUCCACUAGCUGCAGCAGGGUUUACAAACCUCGGUCACCAGGGAAAGUCCGAGCAGACAGGAGACGGUGCAGAUGGCCAGCAGGACCAGCUCACGUCUGUAGCCUUGACGUAGGUAAGAUGGGUAAAGAUCGACCAGCGACGUCAUCAGACACUCCAGACCGACAAACUGCACGGGAGGAGGCAACAGGAUGAAGGCUCAGUUAAAACUCUCUUGGGCACAUACUUGUUCAAAGAGAAAAUGCUUACCUGACUAUCCAAGCAGAGUAGAAUGAUCAUGAGGAAGAAACACACGGCCCACACUUGUGGCAUGGGCAUCAUGGCUACAGCACGCGGGUAAACGAUGAAGGCCAGUCCUGGACCUAAACACAUACAGUGUGGAAUUACAGAAGAGGCUGUGUUCUUGGAAACAUUUAAUUGAGAAGCUUUCCCUGAUUUGUCCCAUGCUACAAUCCAGUCUCUAAGCUCUUCAGAGAAUUCCAUCGACCUCACCUUAUUCUUGACUUUGAUAUGCUUUGACAGCUUUGUAGACUUUCCCAAAGCAUGUGCAAUAAAUUAAACU